rnacentral:rRNA from 1 species
CCUACGGGUGGCAGCAGUAGGGAAUAUUGCUCAAUGGGGGAAACCCUGAAGCAGCAACGCCGCGUGGAGGAUGAAGGUUUUCGGAGUGGAAACUCCUUUUGGUAGAGAAGAAAAUGACGGUAGCUAACGAAUAAGGACCGGCGAACUCCGUGCCAGCAGCCGCGGUAAUACGGAGGGUGCAUGCGUUACUCGGAAUGACUGGGCGUAACGAGCGCGGAGGCGGGUUCGGACGUCCGAUGUGAAUUCCUAGGGCUUAACCCUAGAACUGCCUUUUAAACUGGUAUUCUUGAGUAUGGUGGAGGUCGGUGGUAUUCUUGGUGUAGCGGUUAAAUCCUU